rnacentral:tRNA from 1 species
GGAACAACAGCUCAGUGGUAGAGCAUGUGCCUAGCAAGCAAGAGGUCCUGGGUUCAAUCCCCAGUCCUUUCA